CGUAUCACUUAAAGCGAUUCAGCGGGUUACGAUUGACGGAGCGAAGCGACGUCAAAGCGUAUACAAAGUCGAGUCGGUUUAAGGAUACGUUCGUUGGGUAGGGGAGCGUUCUGUAAGCCUGCGAAGGUGGCCUGUGAGGGUUGCUGGAGGUAUCAGAAGUGCGAAUGCUGACAUAAGUAACGAUAAAGCGGGUGAAAAGCCCGCUCGCCGGAAGACCAAGGGUUCCUGUCCAACGUUAAUCGGGGCAGGGUGAGUCGACCCCUAAGGCGAGGCCGAAAGGCGUAGUCGAUGGGAAACGGGUUAAUAUUCCCGUACUUGGUGUUACUGCGAAGGGGGGACGGAGAAGGCUAUGUUGGCCGGGCGACGGUUGUCCCGGUUUAAGCGUGUAGGCUGGUUUUCCAGGCAAAUCCGGAAAAUCAAGGCUGAGGCGUGACGACGAGGCACUACGGUGCUGAAGCAACAAAUGCCCUGCUUCCAGGAAAAGCCUCUAAGCAUCAGGUAACACGAAAUCGUACCCCAAACCGACACAGGUGGUCAGGUAGAGAAUACCAAGGCGCUUGAGAGAACUCGGGUGAAGGAACUAGGCAAAAUGGUGCCGUAACUUCGGGAGAAGGCACGCUGACACGUAGGUGAAGUGAUUUACUCAUGGAGCUGAAGUCAGUCGAAGAUACCAGCUGGCUGCAACUGUUUAUUAAAAACACAGCACUGUGCAAACACGAAAGUGGACGUAUACGGUGUGACGCCUGCCCGGUGCCGGAAGGUUAAUUGAUGGGGUCAGCGCAAGCGAAGCUCCUGAUCGAAGCCCCGGUAAACGGCGGCCGUAACUAUAACGGUCCUAAGGUAGCGAAAUUCCUUGUCGGGUAAGUUCCGACCUGCACGAAUGGCGUAAUGAUGGCCAGGCUGUCUCCACCCGAGACUCAGUGAAAUUGAACUCGCUGUGAAGAUGCAGUGUACCCGCGGCAAGACGGAAAGACCCCGUGAACCUUUACUAUAGCUUGACACUGAACAUUGAGCCUUGAUGUGUAG
rnacentral:rRNA from 1 species